rnacentral:rRNA from 1 species
UGGGGAAUCUUGGACAAUGGGCGCAAGCCUGAUCCAGCCAUGCCGCGUGAGUGAAGAAGGCCUUCGGGUUGUAAAGCUCUUUUACCAGGGACGAUAAUGACGGUACCUGGAGAAUAAGCCCCGGCAAACUUCGUGCCAGCAGCCGCGGUAAUACGAAGGGUGCGAGCGUUAAUCGGAAUUACUGGGCGUAAAGCGUGCGCAGGCGGCGACAUAAGACAGAUGUGAAAUCCCCGGGCUCAACCUGGGAACUGCGUUUGUGACUGUGUUGCUAGAGUGUAGCAGAGGGGGUGGAAUUCCACGUGUAGCAGUGAAAUGCGUAGAGAUGUGGAGGAACACCGAUGGCGAAGGCAGCCCCCUGGGUUAACACUGACGCUCAUGCACGAAAGCGUGGGGAGCAAACAGGAUUAGAUACCCACGUAGUCCCUGAGCGGGCUGGCAAGGCGCAU